GGACCUUGUCUCAAAGUACACAUA
rnacentral:siRNA from 1 species